rnacentral:rRNA from 1 species
GACGAACGCUGGCGGCGUGCUUAACACAUGCCAGUCGAACGGUAAGGCCCCUUCGGGGGUACACGAGUGGCGAACGGGUGAGUAACACGUGAGCAACCUGCCCUUGACUUUGGGAUACCAGCUGGAAACAGCUGCUAAUACCGGAUAUGACCUCUUCUCUCAUGGGUUGAGGUGGAAAGCUCCGGCGGUCAGGGAUGGGCUCGCGGCCUAUCAGCUUGUUGGUGAGGUAAUGGCUCACCAAGGCUUCGACGGGUAGCCGGCCUGAGAGGGCGACCGGCCACACUGGGACUGAGAUACGGCCCAGACUCCUACGGGAGGCAGCAGUGGGGAAUCUUGCACAAUGGGAGCAAGCCUGAUGCAGCAACGCCGCGUGCGGGAUGACGGCCUUCGGGUUGUAAACCGCUUUCAGUAGGGACGAAGCUAACGUGACGGUACCUACAGAAGAAGGACCGGCUAACUACGUG